AUUAAGGGCCCGGCGCCUGCAGGAAUAUCCUAUCCCUAACUGUAUGUUGCUGCAGCAAGAGAUCAACGCCACAAUCAUCACCUUCAAAAACUGAUAAUUGCCUUUGAACCCAGAAACUGAUCGCGGAAUCAUCACCGUACCCGUACGUCUCCUUCAUUCUUCCCUUUCAAUUCAACGUCACUGGCCGUAAUCAACCCAGUCGACCGGCCGUCUGCGUCAGCCAAUUGACAGUUGGUGAUCUUCCCGCCGCUGGUUCUUCCUCGUCAUUCCCAUAAAAUCUGUGGUAAGUAAAUUUCUGUCUUUAGUCUCCAAUGUUAUCAAAAUCGCGAUUCGGAUUUUAAAAUCAUACGAUCCUAAAUUAACCUAUCGAGUUGAAUCGCUAAUAAAAUCGAAAUCUGAUAAAAUGGCCUAUAAAAUCGCUGGAAUCGGUUAAACUCGGUGGAAUUGCGAGUUUGACCCGAUUUUACUGAUUCCAGCAUAAGGGUUUUUAUUACACUAAAAAAUAGGCCAUGACAGCAUACAAAAAGCCCUAAGCCUACUGUUCACGCAGUUUCCCAAUUGUUAUCGUUGUUUUCCUAUUAUUUUAUGAGUUUACCGCCAUUGUUCAGCUUCUUUAUUCAAACCUCUGCCAUUUCGUUGCUUUUUUUCUUCUCCAUUUUCGAUCAUUUUUCACCGCCAUUUCUUUUGUGAAUGUAAGUGAUUUUUCUUUCAUAUCUUUUUUUAAUUUUGUUUGUAGAACUGAUUUUUUACAUUUUUAUUGUUUUGUAAUUGUAUUUUUGAUUUCAUUUUGAUUUUGAUUAUCACAUGAUUUCGUUUUGAAAUGUUAUUUUUUUUAUUUCAUUAAUUUUUAUCAAUGUCGAUGUUUUUAAAGUUUUUUCUUUAAGAGAAAGUUUCAUGGCGAGUCACCAAAGCAAUAAAAAACGACUCUCAAAGCUAGUCCUACAAGGGAGAGUUCCACCACAAGGUCAAACGCAAUGUGAGGUUCAAGUGAGAGAGAAACAAAGUAUCGAAACAAAGACGGGUCAAGGUAAAUCAAUGGUUUCUCCCGGCUCAAUUAGUGCUUAUAUGCAAAUGAAAGCAAGAAUGAGAAAGAAAUAACUUAGAGAAAAACAUAAUGGUGGAUCACAACAGCAAUCUAUUGUGCAAAAAUCGCAUCAAGGUGGUUCAACAAAAUCACUUGAAAGUCACUUACAACAGAAGCAAUUUGACAAUGAUUUUGAAACAGAUUAUGAUUACAUUAUGGAUUUAAAUGAAUGUGAUAGAGAUGACAUGGAUGGAGAAGAUGUCGAAUUUGAUUAUAAUAGUCACCUAUUGGACAUGCGAGACGGAUCAUUAAUAAACCAAGAAAUAGAAAAUGAGCAAAGUGAGGGUAGAAGACUAUUCUUUGUCAUCGUAUUAAAGCUUUUAUAUUUAUAUGUUGUUUCUUUAGUCAUAUUGUUUUAUAAUCUUUGUAUGUUGUUGUGUAGCACCUUUAAGAGAGAAGCGAACUAGAGGACCAACAAUGUGCACAGAUGUGCAUGAAUGGACAAUAGAUGAUCGUAAGCCUAUCAUUCUUAAUGAAGGAAGCCUAUUGGUCCUGAUGAUCAUACGGUGAUAAGUUUACACGGUUUUUAGAGACUUUAGCGCGUAAUUCUGCUUUUGCACCAUUAAACAAGCUUAAUUGGCAUCGUGUUGAAAACAAGGACAAUAUUUGGAGUUAUGUAAAGGUAAAGAUUCCGUGUUGCAAUUAGUUGGAAUGCUUUGGCGAAGAGAUAAAUGCUUUAAUUCUCAAUGCAUACACUAACGAUGAUGAUAGGUUGGCAAAUGCAUCUGAUUCAAUUCCAGAAGCACAUUUUAAGGAUUUAAUUGAUUAUUGGAAUUUGGAUGAAAUCCAGGAACAAAGUCGAAGAAAGAAGGAAAGUGGUAUGAAUCAGAUUGAUAGGCACACUAUGGGUCCAAAGAGCUUUGCAAGAAAGGAAUAUGAAUCGCAACAAAUGGAUGAAGAAAAUAAGUCACCGUCUCAGGCUCUUAUGUACAAAGAAACUAGAAAAAGAAAAGAAGGAAAAACCUACAAAACAUCAUACGAGCUUAUUCAAAGUAACAUUGAUAAGAUGGAGGAGGUACAACGGGAUUUAAAAGUUGAUGGAGAUAGCGCAUUUCAUGAAGUAAUGAACCCAGAAAACUUAAAUAAGAAACGACAAGAAAGAGUAAUAAAGCUACAUUAGGUGGUGUAAUAGUUCCUAAAGAAUUUUUGCAACUAUGUAAAGAUGAAAUUGUGAAGGGCAAGUGGCACAAUUGUUGAUGUUGUUUAAGCAACAUCUUCCUCCUGAAUCGUUUAACCAAGUGAUAAUAUAUAUGCUAGGACAUCAGGUUCAAGAGGGGAGAUUGGAAAAAAUCAUAUCAGUGAUGAUGAAGCUGCAUGCGAGUAAGAAGCACACAUAGAUCACAAUGAGAAAAAACAAUAAAAGAUUUAGUUUCAAACUAUAUUUUGUAGUUUAGUUGUAUAAUCAAGUUCUUACGAACAUAUAUAAAUUUAUUUUGUAUAUUUUAGUUGUAUAAUCUAGUUCUUACGAACAUAUAUAGAUAUAUUUUGUAUAUUUUAGUUGUAUAAUCAAGUUCUUACGAACAUAUUAUAUAUAGAUAUAUAUGAUGUAUGUAUGAAUGAUGUAGAUUAAGAUUAUACCGUUAGUGAUUGAUUUCAAUUUAUUUUGGC